CCUCCUUCGAUCAAGUGGGUGUUGGUUGAGAGAAAUGGUGAUUAAUGAAGGGAUGACUAUUUGGGAAGAUAAGAAUAAGUUGUGAAGACUUGAUUUAAUCAAAGAAAUGGGUUGAUUUCAGGGAAUAUGACUGAGUUAUGGCUCUCUUGGGACUCCUUUAGGCCUCAGUGCUAUUUUUUGUCCUUUGGAUUGAAAAGCUCUGUCCUCAGACUCUUUUUUGGUUUACAUUUCCUCUUUUGCGGCGCUACAAUAAGAAAAUCUAGGUAUGCACUAUUUCUUUUGAGUUGCCCAAAUAAAAUAGGGCUCUCUUGUAUUUAGGCCUAAGUUUUUAUUAAUUUUUCAUUUUUAUAUUA